CGUGCACGCGCUUGGUAAUUGGCGGCUGAUUAGUGUAUAUAUAGGCUACACAUGCGUAUGAACAAAGUCAGAGACGCUUGUAAACGUAGCGGGGAUUAGUAGUUCAGUUUGGCCAACGAAAACAUUUACACACCACUUUACUCAAAAAAUGAUAACUGAGGCCAUUAUAUCUAAUAGCACACGUCUUAAUUUAAUCAGGUGAUAUACAAGUCGCUAAUAACUGGUCCAGUUACAUCACUGUGUGUGGUUUCUUUGUGCUUAUCUGAAGUAAUUUGUUGCUAACAGUUCAGUAGCUCACCUCAGAAUGCUUCUUGUAACAAAACCAGUAAAAAAGUGAAGACUGAAAGGGAAGAAAAAGACUUGGACAGGGCAGAGCUCCAAUAUUUAGAUGAUUUUUUACAUCUGGUUGUGUUUGGUACGUCGUCUCUAUCCUCAGGAGUUAGCGCUGCUUGCUGCUCCUGUUAGGGGUGGCCGCAGCUGAUCAUCGGUCUGCACAUUCGAUUUGGCACAGUUUUUACACCGGAUGCCCUUCCUGAAGCUACCCUUCCCAAUUUUAUUCGGGCUUGGGAUCAGCACUGGGAGUGCGCUGUCAUGUAUUUUGGUCCAGAUAUUAGUGUCGUUCCUGUUGUAAAACCAGCUGCUCUGCUUUUCCUUAAAAGUGGGAGACGAUAGAAAAGAAGAAAAAGUGCAAAACCUCUUUGCUCACAGGAUAUGACUGAAUCUGUACCAGCAUGUCUGUUCAGACAGGACAUAUAUUAGCUGAAGUUAUUUCUAUUGGUUCUUUUAUAGGAGGUACAGUGUACUUUAUACUGCCACAGGCACAUACAGUCUGUAAAAAUGACUGACAUGUCAUCGUUCUCUCUGUCGAGCUACACACACUACUCCGGAGUUACCAGUGAUCCUGACGACUCCUGCUAUCCAGUCCUGCCUUCUCUAUCGUGAUGUCCCACAUGGACAGCCUAAAAAUCAUCAUGAUGGUUCUGUGAAUGGUAGCACAGAGACACCCUAAGGAUGGCUGUGGAUAUUCUUCCUUGGCUAGCCUAAAGACUAAUUUCUACGAACAGUUUACACUCAAGUCUCCAUCAUGGAACAGUUAAUAACUUCAGUUUGAUACGACAAACUUAAAGUUAAAACUCUAAUGAAUACAGAAAUGAUUGUAAUGCUCAUACUAAGUUCCUGUUAACACACUUGGCAAUUUUUGACUAUAUAGUGUACAGUUAUUGAAGAGAAACUAUUUAGAAUCAUAUUAUCCAGUGUCACCCAGAUGAGCAUGGGUUUUCUUUUGAGUCUGGUUCCUCUCAAGUUUUCCUCUUGUCGUCUCAGGGAGUUUUUUCCUUACCACCAUCACUUCCGGCUUGCUCAUUAGGGAUAAAGUUACACAUUUAAAAUCUAUAUUUGGAAUGUAUGUAUUUCUGUAAAGCUGCUUUGUGACAGUGGCCAUUGUUAAGUGCUAUACAAAUAAAAUUUAAUUAUGUGAUUGGACAUUUGUUAUUGUUGACUUUUUCCAAAAUACAGAUUAGAGUGUUUCCCUCCAUUUUUUUUUUUUUUUCAGCCACUCACUAUUUCAGGCUUAUAACAAAUAAUUUUGUGGAAAUGCUAUUCUUCUUUUGGAAGUCAUAUUUGGAUUGGACUAGUAUUUCAUGGUGGUGUAAUUAUUAAAGGAGUGUCCAAAUCAAUCAUGUCAUUUUUACGGACUGUAAUACUUUUGCUGUAAAUAUAGAUAAUAUAGUACAAUACAGAUUAUACUGUAUUUUAUCUUCUAUAAAAUGAAGAGUAGAAUUAUCAGGUAAUACACAGUACUGUGCAAAAGUCUUAGGUACAUGCAAAAAAAUGCUGUAGAGCAAAGAUGCCUUCAAAAAUAAUGAAAUUAUAGUAUUUUUUAAAUGUAGAAACAUUUAAAGAGCAGUAAACAGUAAUAAAUGAAAAAGUCCAUAUUCGUUGUGAUGAUCCUUUAAUUUGAAAAAAAAAAAAAAAGUAGUCGUCUCAGGUACAAUGUGUGCAGUUUUAUAAGGAAAUGAGCUGUAAGUGUUACUGAGCAUCUUACAGAAGCAGCCACAGUUCUUCUGGAGACUUUGACUGUCAGACUUGCUUCUUAUUUCUGCAGUAAAACCCAGCAGCCUUCAUUGUUUGUUUUGCCUGAAAAGUGUCUCUGUAAUAUGCUGCUUUCUUCACUGACAUGCAAACAUUUUCUAUAACAUUUAAGUUUGUGCUGGAAAACUAAUGUUUGGAAAUGUAAAAUGUUUUUCAUAAAAUAAACAUCUAUAACAAAGUUUGUUGCCUAAGUCUUUUGCACAGUACUGUAUAUCAAAUCCCUCACAAGAACCCAUAUAGAUUAUAUCCUGUGGGAAAAGAGGUUUGUUUUUUUUUUUUUUAAAGCUUUUUCUUCAGUGUAAAGACACUCCAGGAAGUGCUCCCUUUUAUUCUAUCACAAUAACAUAGACGACGUUUAAAAGCAACGCUUCUGGGGUCUUGGGUAACUUAUUGACUUCCUAAUACAUUUGAAGCCUAAACAUGUUUUGGUCAUGUGACCUAGUGAUCAAGCACAACUUGUGCAGCUACAAGCCCUACAACACAUGCUUAUAAUAAAGGUCAAAUAUUGUAUUAAAGUGCGGUACACAUGUAUGCGUGGUCAUCAGACGAAAACUUCCAUCAUGAAGACGCUCCAUCUCUGUGAUUCAUACAGAGAUCACGUAUCCUGUACAAAUCAAUCAUAAUUACUCCACAUGUCCUCUGACAAUAUUACUUAACAGAUGCGUUUGGAUAUCUUAUCCUGGAGAAAGAAUGGUUAUGGGAUUUGAUCUUUUUGGUUUUUGUUAUAUAUGCAAGGAUGAGCAAAAAGACUUUUGUACAAAGAUUUCAUAGUUACUGUUUUGUUUUGUUUUCCCCACAGGCUUGUGUCUUUUUUUAAAUGGCCAGUUAAUACUGUGAUAACUGAUUAGACUAGGUUAUCAUGCUAUGAAAAUUUCAAACCUUAAAACCUCUAGUAGUUUCUGAAGAUGAAUAAAUGAAUCACUUAAUCAGUUGAUACUUUAGUGUAGUAGAGCGUGUACAUAAGCACAACUGAAGCAUUGAAGAGAACCAUUGGUAAA